rnacentral:rRNA from 1 species
GAUGAACGCUAGCGGGAGGCCUAACACAUGCAAGCCGAGCUGUAUUGUUUCUUCGGAAAUGAGAGAGCGGCGUACGGGUGCGUAACACGUGUGCAACCUGCCUUUAUCUGGGGGAUAGCCUUUCGAAAGGAAGAUUAAUACUCCAUAAUAUAUUGAACGGCAUCGUUUAAUAUUGAAAGCUCCGGCGGAUAGAGAUGGGAACGCGCAAGAUUAGCUAGUUGGUGAGGUAACGGCUCACCAAGGCGAUGAUCUUUAGGGGGCCUGAGAGGGUGAUCACCCACACGAGUACUGAGACAAGGACCAGACUCCUACGGGAGGCAGCAGUGAGGAAUAUUGGUCAAUGGGUGCAAGCCUGAACCAGCCAUCCCGCGUGAAGGACGACUGCCCUAUGGGUUGUAAACUUCUUUUGUAUAGGGAUAAACCUACCCUCGUGAGGGUAGCUGAAGGUACUAUACGAAUAAGCACCGGCUAACUCCGUGCCAGCCGCCGCGGUAACAC